AGCAGGGAAGCUAUUACCAUUCCGGCUACUAUUCUAACUGCUUGGCAAUCAAUCCUCGAAGUGUAAGCUCCGACGAGUAGGAGGGCGUGGGGGUCGUGACGCAGCCUCUGGCGCGAGCCUGGGUGAAACGGCCUCCAGUGCAGAUCUUGGUGGUAGUAGCAAAUAUUCAAAUGAGAGCUUUGAAGACCGAAGUGGAGAAAGGUUCCAUGUGAACAGCAGUUGGACAUGGGUUAGUCGAUCCUAAGAGAUAGACAUAGAUUCUUUGUAAACGUGAACCGACUUUUUCCCUGCCGCCAAUUUCAAUGUUAAUAAGAAUAAAAUAUAUCUCAUUUACACACCAUGUUAAAUCGCUAAUUUAUAAAGACUUAGUAUUACUGCUAUUCUACUCAACAUCAAGAAACCAAACCUCUUAUAGCUC
rnacentral:ncRNA from 1 species